rnacentral:rRNA from 1 species
UACGUGGGGUGCGAGCGUUGUUCGGAAUUACUGGGCGUAAAGCGCGUGUAGGCGGCCUAUUAUGUCAGGUGUGAAAGCCCUCGGCCUAACCGAGGAAGUGCGCCUGAAACUGGUAGGCUUGAGUACGAGAGAGGAGGACGGAAUUCCCAGUGUAGAGGUGAAAUUCGUAGAUAUUGGGAGGAACACCGGCGGCGAAAGCGGUUCUCUGGAUCGAUACUGACGCUAAGACGCGAAAGCGUGGGGAGCAAACAGG